rnacentral:rRNA from 1 species
AACGAACGCUGGCGGCGUGCUUAACACAUGCAAGUCGAACGGUAAGGCCCCAGCUUGCUGGGGUACACGAGUGGCGAACGGGUGAGUAACACGUGGGUGACCUGCCCCGCACUUCGGGAUAAGCCUGGGAAACUGGGUCUAAUACCGGAUAGGACCGCACCGUGAGGAUGUGGUGGAAAGUUUUUCGGUGUGGGAUGGGCCCGCGGCCUAUCAGCUUGUUGGUGGGGUAAUGGCCUACCAAGGCGGCGACGGGUAGCCGGCCUGAGAGGGUGGACGGCCACAUUGGGACUGAGACACGGCCCAG